rnacentral:rRNA from 1 species
GACGGGACCCGCACAAGCGGUGGAGCAUGUGGUUUAAUUCGACGAUACGCGAAGAACCUUACCUGGCCUUGACAUACUAAAAAGCUUUAAGAGAUUAGAGUGUGCUAGCUUGCUAGAAUUUAGAUACAGGUGCUGCACGGCUGUCGUCAGCUCGUGUCGUGAGAUGUUGGGUUAAGUCCCGCAACGAGCGCAACCCUCGUGUUUAGUUGCUAACAGUUCGGCUGAGAACUCUAAACAGACUGCCUACGCAAGUAAGAGGAAGGUGAGGACGACGUCAAGUCAUCAUGGCCCUUACGGCCAGGGCUACACACGUGCUACAAUGGGGUAUACAAAGAGCAGCGAUACGGUGACGUGGAGCAAAUCUAGAAAAUGCCUCUCAGUUCGGAUUGUAGUCUGCAACUCGACUACAUGAAGUUGGAAUCGCUAGUAAUCGCGCAUCAGCCAUGGCGCGGUGAAUACGUUCCCGGGCCUU